rfam:Dipodomys ordii contig_607, whole genome shotgun sequence.
GGUGGCUCAGUGGUAGAGCGCUUGCCUUGCAUCCAUGAGGCCCUGGGUUCAAUUCCUCAGCACCA